GGCCGCUUGGCGAAAUGGCACCGCGUCUGACUACGACCCGGUUAGUUAAUUGCAGGUUCGAGUCCUGCAGUGGUCG
rfam:Postia placenta Mad-698-R POSPLscaffold_83_Cont4164, whole genome shotgun sequence.